UGCCAAUUAAGACCAGGCAUCCUGUCUUCCUGUUUUAAUCCCAGAGCCAGUAAUGGUGAACCCACUGGGGUGACUGGGAAAUGGGAUGAGCACUGGUUCUGUGAGGAAUGGUCUAACGUGC